rnacentral:rRNA from 1 species
AGUAACGCGUGGGCAACCUGCCCUGUACAGGGGGACAACAGCCGGAAACGGCUGCUAAUACCGCAUAAGCGCACAGCUUUGCAUGAAGCAGUGUGAAAAACUCCGGUGGUACAGGAUGGGCCCGCGUCUGAUUAGCUAGUUGGCGGGAUAGAAGCCCACCAAGGCGACGAUCAGUAGCCGGCCUGAGAGGGUGGACGGCCACAUUGGGACUGAGACACGGCCCAGACUCCUACGGGAGGCAGCAG